rnacentral:rRNA from 1 species
AUGUCUAAGUACAUGCCGUAUUAAGGCGAAACCGCGAAUGGCUCAUUAAAUCAGUCAUGGUUCCUUGGAUCGUACCUUACUACUUGGAUAACUGUGGCAAUUCUAGAGCUAAUACAUGCAGCAGAGCUCCGACCUUCGGGGACGAGCGCUUUUAUUAGACCAAAACCAAUCGGACCUUGUGUCCGUCUCUUGUGGUGACUCUGUAUAACUUUGGGCUGAUCGCACGGGCCUGUCCCGGCGACGUAUCUUUCAAGUGUCUGCCUUAUCAACUUUCGAUGGUAGGUUACGCGCCUACCAUGGUCGUAACGGGUAACGGGGAAUCAGGGUUCGAUUCCGGAGAGGGAGCCUGAGAAACGGCUACCACAUCCAAGGAAGGCAGCAGGCGCGCAAAUUACCCACUCCCGGAACGGGGAGGUAGUGACGAAAAAUAACAAUACGGGACUCUUUUGAGACCCCGUAAUUGGAAUGAGUACACUCUAAAUCCUUUAACGAGGAUCCAUUGGAGGGUAAGUCUGGUGCCAGCAACCGCGGUAAUUCCAGCUCCAAUAGCGUAUAUUAAAGUUGUUGCGGUUAAAAAGCUCGUAGUUGGAUCUCAGUUCCAGACGGGUGGUCCGCCUACCGGUGGUUACUGCCUGUUCUGAACAGUCAGCCGGUUUCUCUUGAUGAUCUUCACCGGUUGUCUUGGGUGACCGGCAAGUUUACUUUGAAAAAAUUAGAGUGCUCAAAGCAGGCGUGACGCCUGAAUAAUGGUGCAUGGAAUAAUGGAAUAGGACCUCGGUUCUAUUUUGUUGGUUUUCGGAACACGAGGUAAUGAUUAAGAGGGACAGACGGGGGCAUUCGUAUUGCGACGCU